GCCUAACACAUGCAAGUCGAACGGAACUGUCUUGAAAGAUUUCUUCGGAAUGAAUUUGAUUUAGUUUAGUGGCGGACGGGUGAGUAACGCGUGAGUAACCUGCCUUCAAGAGGGGGAUAACAUUCGGAAAAGAAUGCUAAUACCGCAUGAUAUAUCGGAACCACAUGGUUCUGAUAUCAAAGAUUUUAUCGCUUGAAGAUGGACUCGCGUCCGAUUAGUUAGUUGGUGAGGUAACGGCUCACCAAGACCGCGAUCGGUAGCCGGACUGAGAGGUUGAACGGCCACAUUGGGACUGAGACACGGCCCAGACUCCUACGGGAGGCAGCAGUGGGGGAUAUUGCGCAAUGGGGGCAACCCUGACGCAGCAACGCCGCGUGAAGGAUGAAGGUUUUCGGAUUGUAAACUUCUUUUAUUAAGGACGAAAAUUGACGGUACUUAAUGAAUAAGCUCCGGCUAACUACGUGCCAGCCGCCGCCGUAACAC
rnacentral:rRNA from 1 species